CUAAUUGUUUACAGACGCUAUUUCUGCCUCCACCCAGCGUUGCCCACAGUCGAGGCUCAGCCCUGGCACGGUCCCAUCGGUCCAGGGUGGUGGCUCGCCGAGGGCCCGUCUAGGCAGAGGGUGUGGGCAGCGGCACAGCCACGCUUCCUUUCUUGUGUUUCUGUCACCUCGUUUGUUUCAGCUCCGCGGACACGUAAUCACGGCUGGGCCUCCCUGCCGUUUGCUCGCGAUUCGAAGGCUCCUCGUGGACCCUCUCUGCUUAGGCCUUGGCACGGCCGCCCCGAAGCCGGAAGGCUGCUGUGGUUACCCAGCCUUGGCGCCCCGUCCAGAGCUUAUAAAGAGGCGGCGGCUGACACACCAACCCGCACGCCAUCCAGCUGCGGCUGGCUUUGCCCGGAACAGGCCAGAAAACGGAGGCCAGGGGCCACCCAGCCUGGCGUCUCUGUGGUUGAGCUGAAGGAGGCCCUUUGCAAAGCUUGGUGAGAAGCCUGGAGUCGGCACCAGAGACAGACGUCGAGAGAAUGAAUCCAGCCGGAGAUCGUGCGGGCCGAGGUCCCUGACUCACCACUCCGCGCUGGUGAAUGGGCUCAGACAUGACUGCUGCGUCACAUGACAUCUGUCUGUCACACUGCAAAUCCGUCCCCAGCUCUAGCUCCCACCACGGGGACUGGAGGCAGGAGGAGCCGACGGGCCCCUGGAACGGCCGCGGUGCGUCCAGAGGUGGGAGCCGCAAGCCCGAGGAUCGGCCGAGUCCCAGGGGACCCUAACGGAGGCCGGGCUGGAAGGCCAAGGUGGCUGCCACGUGGGAAGGUAUCCUUGACGUCCAGACCCUGGAGAAGGAGUCGGGAGCCACCACCCAAAGCAACUGUCCAGGAAAAGUGGUCGCGCUUCAGCCAUCGCGCUGGGCUAGGUCUUCCAAGCGAACCCCCUGUUGGAGCCUCUGCCGUCUAACGUCACCUAAUGUAGCCGAACCUGCCAAGACCCUGGCUACUUCACUGGAACCCAGACCAGGGCGAUCCCCGAGUGUUGCGAGACAUGAUGCUACUGCAGACAUAAGAGACUGCAGACAUAAGCAUGAAGCUAGCUUUUCCAUGCACUGGAACCAGCCAGUACUCACCAGGUUGAGCUGGUCUGGAGCUGAACCCAGCUUCUCCGAGGUCGGCCCGUGGUAGAUGCUCCUUAUCCGUUUCCCUGAAGCGACCAAGCACAGCACGAGAGCCCAAGGCCCCCAUGCAGAUAAUGGACAAAGGCAGGACUUCGUGUUAGUGGCCCACCUUCCUCUUCCUCGACGGUGGCUCCAGCCCCUUCAUGUCGCCUCCAAGCUCCUGCCCAAGUGUUCCCACCCGCACUGCUGGGAGCAGCUCCUCUGUGUUUUCAGGGCCACUUUGCUGUCGUCCUUUGAAGGUUCUCUUGGCGACUCUAGGAAGACUCCAUGGUACAGGUGACCUUCUGUAUCUGUGGAGGAUCGGUUCCCAGAUACCCCCGCCCACGGAUCCCAAAAUCCCAGGAGCCAAGCCUUGUCUAAAGUGCCGGAGUGCAGCCUGGCCUCCAGAACGCGUGAGAACAGAGCAGCCGUACUCUGUUUCCAACGAACCGAUGGCCAAAGCCCCGCUGUGCGUGUUCUCUAUGGACUGAACAGCCAGUGGCCCUGUAGCAGUGAAGCCUCACACCGUCCUCCAGGCUGGAAGGGACCCUUGAGUCACAGAACUUGCCAGUUUGCAAACAUGUCUCUAGUUGUAACAACUUUCAUCUGUCAAAUGAGGGCUCUUCAUUUCUAAGGUUCUAGAAGCCGGCCGUGGUCAUUUAGUCCCUCAGCUGGGUGUACUGAAAUCUGGGCCAGAGGCACAGCUUCCUCGCUAAGACACCCCCCCACCCCAGCACCCUGUACACACACACAGGCAGAGGCCAAGCUGCCUGCCUCCCCGCACCCCCUAGAAUGCUAACCACUGGGGACCGAGGGGCAGUUCCUACCUUUUACAUCCUUACAUACUGAAUCUGGCGCUGGCUCCUGGGCUGCAUCUUCUUAACUGCAAACACUCUAUACCAUCCCUCUCUGGUUCCACCAGCCACCACCCUCCUUCCGUGUCCUCCUCUGAACGUGCCUGAUAAAGGCUUUUGAGUGACUGAAUGAGUGGACGGCUCCCAUCUUCUGUCAUCUCAAUGAGUGCUGCUCCCCAGCUGACUGGAACCAGACGCCCUAGUUCCCAGGCUGGGUUUCCCUCCAGAUGUGUUCUCCUGCGGUGUCGGUUCCACCGUUAAACAGCUGUAUCGCUCAGCAGGUACGCAACGUUGAUGCGCCUCCAUUUCCUCCUCUGCAGAAUUGUGGGCGUUCCUGUCGUGGCUCAGCAGAAUCCGGCUUGUAUCCACGAGGAUGCGGGUUCUAUCCCUGGCCUCGCUCGGUGAAUCUGGGAUCCAGCCUUGCCGUGAGCUGUGGUGUAGGCCGGAAGCUGUAGCUCCAAUUUGACCCCUAGCCUGGAAACUUCCAUAUGCUGAGGGUUCGGCCUUAAAAACAACAACAACAACAAAAUAGUACUUACGUCAUAGGGUUGCUGUCAGCAUUAAAUGAGAGAGUCUGUUAAAAACGCCGAGAACAUUGCCUGGCAAUAUACAUUGCAGAAUACUCAAUAAAUAUUAGCUGGUGUUAUUUCAUACUUCAUCAAACACAACCUUCGUCACACAUCACUGUGCUUCUUAUUUAAUUUGUUGACUUUCCAAAAAGACUGUAAGCUCACGUCUGCCGUGGUCUUAUCCCCAGGGUGGUGGUCUGGCAGGUGGUCAGGGGUCGAUAUAGGUCUAAAUGCACCCCUGCAAGAAUGGGCGCGCUGAGGGCGGACACGAAUUUCUUCCACCUGUGACAUUUCAAAGAAUGGUUGAAACUGGUGCCUCUAUAACAUUUGAGAAGCAGACAGGAGACGCUAUUGCCAAGUGGCUACGUGCGCAGAGGGCGAAGCCAGAGGGGAUGAAUUGGAAGCCCAACUCCACGCUCAGUAGAACGUGACCGUACAUCACCCAGCUUCUGUGCCUCUGUUUCCUCGUCUGUGAAAUGGGAAGGACGAUAAUAGCACCAACCUCGGAGGGUUUUCAGGAAGCUUGAAUGAGUUCAUGUUUGGAAGGUCGUCGGCAUCACGUGUGACUAUUUAAACGAUUUGAAUAAGAUGCUAAUAAAUGAACCUACUGCCUUGCGAUGGCCGAGCUCUCACUUCAGGAUCGCCGCAACACGAGUGCAGAACGAAUGCCUGGCUGGUGACGGGUUAAAGAAGUCGGUAUCGGCAGGCUUUCAGGAAGGAUCCAGCACGUGGUCCACGAGGUUCCUCAACUGAUGGGGCAGCAGGGACAGCUUCCCUCACUGGUGCCCGCUCACUGCCUGACGGGGGGCAGAGUCCAUCCAGGCAACACACAAUUUCAAAAAUGUGUUUAUCUUCUUCUUUUUUCUUUUUGUGGCCACACCAGUGGCCUAGGGAAGUUCCCGGGCUAGGGGUCGAAUCGGAGCUGCAGCUGCCGGCCUGCUCCACAGCCACAGCAGCUGGAAUCCGAGUCUCGUCUGUGACCCACACCACAGCUCAGGGCGACGUCGGAUCCUUAACCCACUGAGCGAGGCCGGGGAUCGAACCUGGGUCCUCAUGCACACUAGUCGGGGUCUUAACCCUCUGACUCGCAAUGGGAACUCCUAAAACGUUUUCUGACGGGGAUGCAGUCCCCCUUUAGACUGGCAUGCCGCGGCAUAAAGGCGGAAAUGCAGCUUUCUUCGUUCCACGCAGGGCCUCGCUCUCUGGACAGAGGCGGGAGGUGGGACAGGCAGACGGGAACGUCUGGGCUCGUGGCGAGAUUAUCCUGGAAGAGAAGACCGUUCAAACCGCUUGAAGCCCGUUGGGAUCCAAGGUAAGCGGCUUCACAAUCAGCCAAAGAUAAAAUGUUUUGAAAAGCACUGAAACUUCCUAUAGUGAGGGGUUAACUCCGUGGAGGCGUCUGGCUGCGUGGAGAGGGGCCUGGCGAGCAGAGCUGAGCGGCGGGCAGGAAGGGAAGAGGCUGCCUCCCGCCCGGGGCACACAGCCCACAGGCCUCCUGCGCGUGCUGGCCGGUGAUCGGCCAGGAAGGAUGACAGCGUGGCAGCAAGAGGCCACCGCGUGCUCCGAGGGGCUUCAGAUCCCUCCGUGCCUCUUGGUUUGACCCUGGCUUCUUGACUCCUCACGUUCCCCAGCACUACCACGGACCAGACCUUCUAGGACCAACCCUAUACCUCUUCCUCCAACCUCCUCUUGGCCAUGAACUCAGAAGCCAAGGACCCCGCUGACAUCCUGCUGCGGAUGGAUGGCUCGCACCGGCUGGGACCCCAGGUUUUCCUGUUACGUGUCACCGAAGCCUCUCACAAGCCCUGGAAACAUCAUCAGGCACAGGAAGUUCUCAGCAAGAAUCUGAUUUUGGUUCUCCGUGACUCCCCCUCAGGGAUUAGUCUUUGUAGUACAGUUUCCAGAGUUCCCGCUGUGGCUCAGUUGGAAGGAACCCGACUAGUAGCCGUGAGAACACGGGUUCAAUCCCUAGCCUCGCUCAGUGGGUUAAGGAUCCAGUGCUGCUGUGAGCUGUGUGUAGCUCGGAUCUGGCAUGGCUGUGGCUGUGGCCUGGCAGCUGCAGCUCCGAUUCAACCCCUAGCCCAGGAACUUCCAUAUGUCGCAGGUGCAGCCCUAAAAAGAAAAAAAAAAAAAAAAAA
rnacentral:lncRNA from 1 species